rnacentral:rRNA from 1 species
UCAUCUUCGGGGGUAGAGCACUGUUUCGGCUAGGGGGUCAUCCCGACUUACCAACCCGAUGCAAACUACGAAUACCGAAGAAUGUUAUCACGGGAGACACACGGCGGGUGCUAACGUCCGUCGUGAAGAGGGAAACAACCCAGACCGCCAGCUAAGGUCCCAAAGUCAUGGUUAAGUGGGAAACGAUGUGGGAAGGCACAGACAGCCAGGAUGUUGGCUUAGAAGCAGCCAUCAUUUAAAGAAAGCGUAAUAGCUCACUGGUCGAGUCGGCCUGCGCGGAAGAUGUAACGGGGCUAAACCAUGCACCGAAGCUGCGGCAGCGACACUAUGUGUUGUUGGGUAGGGGAGCGUUCUGUAAGCCUGCGAAGGUGACCUGUGAGGGUUGCUGGAGGUAUCAGAAGUGCGAAUGCUGACAUAAGUAACGAUAAAGCGGGUGAAAAGCCCGCUCGCCGGAAGACCAAGGGUUCCUGUCCAACGUUAAUCGGGGCAGGGUGAGUCGACCCCUAAGGCGAGGCCGAAAGGCGUAGUCGAUGGGAAACAGGUUAAUAUUCCUGUACUUGGUGUUACUGCGAAGGGGGGACGGAGAAGGCUAUGUUAGCCGGGCGACGGUUGUCCCGGUUUAAGCAUGUAGGCUGGUUAUCCAGGCAAAUCCGGAUAAUCAAGGCUGAGGUGUGAUGACGAGGCACUACGGUGCUGAAGUAACAAAUGCCCUGCUUCCAGGAAAAGCCUCUAAGCAUCAGGUAACAUCAAAUCGUACCCCAAACCGACACAGGUGGUCAGGUAGAGAAUACCAAGGCGCUUGAGAGAACUCGGGUGAAGGAACUAGGCAAAAUGGUGCCGUAACUUCGGGAGAAGGCACGCUGGUGUGUAGGUGAAGUCCCUGCGGAUGGAGCUGAGACCAGUCGAAGAUACCAGCUGGCUGCAACUGUUUAUUAAAAACACAGCACUGUGCAAACACGAAAGUGGACGUAUACGGUGUGACGCCUGCCCGGUGCCGGAAGGUUAAUUGAUGGGGUUAUCCGUAAGGAGAAGCUCUUGAUCGAAGCCCCGGUAAACGGCGGCCGUAACUAUAACGGUCCUAAGGUAGCGAAAUUCCUUGUCGGGUAAGUUCCGACCUGCACGAAUGGCGUAAUGAUGGCCAGGCUGUCUCCACCCGAGACUCAGUGAAAUUGAACUCGCUGUGAAGAUGCAGUGUACCCGCGGCAAGACGGAAAGACCCCGUGAACCUUUACUAUAGCUUGACACUGAACAUUGAGCCUUGAUGUGUAGGAUAGGUGGGAGGCUUUGAAGCGUGGACGCCAGUCUGCGUGGAGCCAACCUUGAAAUACCACCCUUUAAUGUUUGAUGUUCUAACGUUGGCCCCUUACCGGGGUUGCGGACAGUGUCUGGUGGGUAGUUUGACUGGGGCGGUCUCCUCCCAAAGCGUAACGGAGGAGCACGAAGGUUAGCUAAUCCUGGUCGGACAUCAGGAGGUUAGUGCAAUGGCAUAAGCUAGCUUGACUGCGAGCGUGACGGCGCGAGCAGGUGCGAAAGCAGGUCAUAGUGAUCCGGUGGUUCUGAAUGGAAGGGCCAUCGCUCAACGGAUAAAAGGUACUCCGGGGAUAACAGGCUGAUACCGCCCAAGAGUUCAUAUCGACGGCGGUGUUUGGCACCUCGAUGUCGGCUCAUCACAUCCUGGGGCUGAAGUAGGUCCCAAGGGUAUGGCUGUUCGCCAUUUAAAGUGGUACGCGAGCUGGGUUUAGAACGUCGUGAGACAGUUCGGUCCCUAUCUGCCGUGGGCGCUGGAGAAUUGAGGGGGGCUGCUCCUAGUACGAGAGGACCGGAGUGGACGCAUCACUGGUGUUCGGGUUGUCAUGCCAAUGGCACUGCCCGGUAGCUAAAUGCGGAAGAGAUAAGUGCUGAAAGCAUCUAAGCACGAAACUUGCCCCGAGAUGAGUUCUCCCUGAGACUUUAAGUCUCCUGAAGGAACGUUGAAGACGACGACGUUGAUAGGCCGGGUGUGUAAGCGCAGCGAUGCGUUGAGCUAACCGGUACUAAUGAACCGUGAGGCUUAACCUU